rnacentral:rRNA from 1 species
AGUGAACGCUGGCGGUAGGCCUAAUACAUGCAAGUCGAACGGCAGCACAGUAAGAGCUUGCUCUUACGGGUGGCGAGUGGCGGACGGGUGAGGAAUACAUCGGAAUCUACUUUUUCGGGGGGGAUAACGAAGGGAAACUUACGCUAAUACCGCAUACGACCUACGGGUGAAAGCAGGGGAUCUUCGGACCUUGCGCGAUUGAAUGAGCCGAUGUCGGAUUAGCUAGUUGGCGGGGUAAAGGCCAACCAAGGCGACGAUCCGUAGCUGGUCUGAGAGGAUGAUCAGCCACACUGGAACUGAGACACGGUCCAGACUCCUACGGGAGGCAGCAGUGGGGAAUAUUGGACAAUGGGCGCAAGCCUGAUCCAGCCAUACCGCGUGGGUGAAGAAGGCCUUCGGGUUGUAAAGCCCUUUUGUUGGGAAAGAAAAGCAGCAGGUUAAUACCCCGCUGUUCUGACGGUACCCAAAGAAUAAGCACCGGCUAACUUCGUG